rnacentral:rRNA from 1 species
CAAUAGCGUAUAUUAAAGUUGUUGCAGUUAAAAAGCUCGUAGUUGAAUUUUUGCUUGCCGCCGAUGUCGGAACUUCCGUACGUUCGGCGGCGUGCAUCCUUGGGUGGAACCUGUGUGGCAUUGGGUUGUCGUGCAGGGGAUGCUCAUCGUUUACUGUGAAAAAAUUAGAGUGUUCAAAGCAGGCUUACGCCGUUGAAUAUAUUAGCAUGGAAUAAUAAGAUAGGACCUUGGUACUAUUUUGUUGGUUUGCGCACCGAGGCAAUGAUUAACAGGGACAGUUGGGGGUAUUCGUAUUCCAUUGUCAGAGGUGAAAUUCUUGGAUUUCUGGAAGACGAACUACUGCGAAAGCAUUUACCAAGGAUGUUUNCAUUA